rnacentral:rRNA from 1 species
UACGUAGGGGGCGAGCGUUGUCCGGAAUCAUUGGGCGUAAAGCGCGUGUAGGCGGCCCGGUAAGUCCGCUGUGAAAGUCCAGGGCUCAACCCUGGGAUGCCGGUGGAUACUGUCGGGCUAGAGUCCGGAAGAGGAGUGUGGAAUUCCUGGUGUAGCGGUGAAAUGCGCAGAUAUCAGGAAGAACACCCGUGGCGAAGGCGGUUCGUCUGGGACGGUACUGACGCUGGAGACGCGAAAGCGUGGGGAGCGAACAGG